ensembl:lncRNA
GGGAUUCCACCGCACGCUGCCCGGCGUCCAUUCCUACCGGGCGCGUAACGGCAGCGUAGCGCUGCCUUGCGAGCCAGCCGUAUUCACGCAAGAUCACGCGAUAAUCCUAAACAUAAUGUACUCACCUUCCACUCCCAAAACUAUUGCAUUUAAAUGCCACGCUUUGUCCUUUCUGACAUUUUCCUUAUAAAAAGGAUGAUUUGGUACAUAAAUGACUUCAUGUUGCUGAACUACGACAAUGAGUCUCGUCGUCCAUGUUGCCGACCCUCUGAGACCCUUUGAUUGACUGCUGACCUGGUGCCACCGGUCAUGACGUAAUACUGUUGAUGUGAAGUUACAUGAGCUGAGUAUUGUGUUUUAUUUUGAAAAUUGACCGGAUGCUCUCUUGCUUUUACUUUUCACUUCCUGCCCGGCUCGACCUGCUCUGUCGAAAUUGACGCGGUUUAGCAGCGGCUCGCGGCAAAAAUAGAAUUAGGACGGAAAGAUAGCGCCGCGGCGCAGGACGCCGCUCCUGGGACGCUGCUGAAACGUUCCGCGGCGUGCCCGGUGGAAAUGGUCUCAUUGAUUAGAGUGGAAGCGAUCAGCAGCGGUGACCGCGGCGUAGCCGUCCCGCGGCACGUACGCCUCCGGUGGAAUCAGGCCUUAAGGAAACCUUCAUUGGGGCUUCAAGGUGUAAAGAGGAGAAUGUUUCAAAGUGUUCCAUGGUACUCUGAUGAGGACCGUUGUUGUGUUCCACUGGCUGAGAGGAAGAACCCUCCAUCUUCCUCUUGGGCUUUCUCCUCUGAGAAUCCUGGCGCCAUCUUGAAGAAUAUUCCAGCUCAUGUAACUGAUGUCACGACCGAUUCUCAAACACUUGGUUUCUCCUGAGGGGCGUGUCUAAAGAACUGAAGACUUCAGACAGCACUGUAUCCCAGCAUGUAUCUCUGCUCACUCAGACCACACCCCCAUGGUAGGAUGCAACACUCUCGUGAUGGAGAUGUAGAGUUUUAUAAGUAACGAGGGAGCAGACAAAGGUGAUUAGAACAAAAUGGAAUGUCAAAUCUGUAAAUCUUUAAGCCAUGAAGAUGGUUGGAUAGUUCAGGAAUUGGGCUUCUUUUUAUUAUGGGCAGUCCUUUUUCUCAGAUGCCCACUUCUCACUGGAGCUGUACAUGUGUUGGCUGGUUGGCAUGAUUUGCUGUUGUUGAUGAGGCGGUCAGGGUGACGUUGCAGGGCUAUGGUCGGCUCUCUGUGAGCUCAACGUUUAGAUUUGCUCUGUAUGGUUUGUACCCUGAAUAAUCUAGAUAAUUGUAAAAUGUAGACACGGUUUUGUAUUGAAUGAUUCAAGGAUUUUAGGUUUAAAGUUGUUGUGGGACGUACAUGGUAGUUUGGUUCUUCGUACGGUUUUGAGUGAUAUAACUUGUACACACUGGGUGCAUAAUAAUGUAAAUGUACACUGAAUAGUAGUAAUGACCAACAGCAACAAACAGAUCUCCUCAAGGUAAGUCUGUUGGCUGUGUUUUAAUGAAGACCAUCGCUGGACUUCAGGAUCUUCCUCCGUUCAGCUCAAGGUGAGGCGCUGGUUCUGUUUUUCUUUGGUUGGUUCCGGCCGGAAUGUUCGGAUUCCAGUCGGACGGUUUGUGCUUCCCGCCGUGGAAGAUUUUGAGUGCGGUCACUUGUUUUAGUCCCAAUGGUUAGCAUAGAACGUUGUAGUCUUGACAACCAUAAGAAACCACCUGGCAGUUAGUUGGACGGGAGUCCCCUGAGGGGAUCUGGCGGAACGUUCUGGACUUCUUUUUGGCGUAAACUCGAGCCGUUGCCAACGGAAACUAUUUUUCAGUCGGUUUCCAUUGGGAAUUGUUGCCCCUAUCUUAAACAACUUAUGGUUGAUAUUAAAUACAUACUGACACGUACGUCGUACAAUAUGUUGAUCAUUUCCGAUGGUUGCGCGGCCGUACUUUUAACCACGAUGACGUGACGGGAAUCUCGUUGCGUACAAAACGGCGUUCUACUUGCGGCCCCAAUUUUGACAUCAGUGAAGGCUGAAAAUCAUUUCAAGUUGGAUGAUAAUUUGACAUUUCUUCAACGGAACCCAGCACCUGAAUAUGGCUGAGUAUAUUUGAUUUAAUAUCGAUGGCUUAGUGUUCUUUGUUACUUCAGCUUUUGUAUGUUCUAAAUAUCUGCUGUCAUUAAUUGCCACAGAAGUUAAACCCUACCCAAUGGAAUGACGUUAAACAACGACUUUGGUGCAGAGUAACCAACUGGAUAAUAUCAAAGCUAAAAUAAUGUCCGUCUUUCCCACAUGUUACAGUAGAAGAUACUCUAGAACUGUACAAGGUUAAAAAGGUAACAUGUAGUUUGUCUCAAGGUGUCUGCCUCCUCACCCAGAGCAAGACCUCCACCUCCUCACCCAGAGCCAGACCUCCACCUCCUCACCCAGAGCCAGACCUCCACCUACUGUCAGAAGUCCACCAGAACAGCUGAAAUGCAAGGCUGAGAGGCUGGGGACCGGAGGCUUGUGGUGCCAGGGUGGACCGGGGACUGAGGCUGGAGAUCAGGGGCCUGCAGCACCGGACCAGAGGAUCAGGAAUCCAUGGCUGAAGGAGCUGAUGGAGGAGCCGAGCUGAUGGAGGAGCCGAGCUGGAGGAGCCAUACUGAUGGAGCUGAUGGAGGAGUCGUGCUGAAGGCCCUGUCUGGUGGAGGAGCUGGUGGAGGCCCUGCCUGGUGAAGGACGUCUGUCGUGGGACCAGGACUCUGUCUGAGGAGAGCUGCUGGAGGAGCUGAGACGCUGGAGGACGACGAGGAAUCGAUCAACAAGGAUUCCUCAACGUGUUUCUGGAGCGAAGGCGAGCUGGUAGGGGAGCCGUGAAUCUGGAGGAUGACCAUCACUCUACCAACAAGGAUUACGUUAGGGCCAGACUCGCGCUGUUUGUUCCAGACCAGGACUCUGGCUGAGGAUACCUGAUGGAGGAGCCAAGACUCUGGAGGACGACAUCACUCUACCAACAAGGAUCCUCGUCUAUCAUGGAUAUUUAACUGCAGUUCUGUGAGUAUUCCAACUUAACCAUGAAGCUGAACUGCAAACUGUAAGUCAUAAGUUUCUCAUUACUCUUGGGCACAUUGAUGUAUUUUGGCUUCCUGGUGAGUUAGCCCGUUACCUGAAGGUUGAUCUGAGUAGUAAGGAUGUUUUAUUGGUUCAUGGGUUACUUAGGUGUUUGGUUUAUGUUGGUUUUAAUGAUUUGUUAAAAUGGUUACAGGCUCCAAGUGAUUGGUGUAAGCUGGAGUAAUUGUUUGGGCUCUGAUAUCAUCAGUCGUCUUUUCAGCUACUCUCCUGAGCUCGGCAUCUUCAUCACAUGAGUGUUGCUUUACUGAUGAGGGUGUUGUCUGAGUGAGCAGAGGUGCAUACUGGGACACAGAGCUGUCUGAAGUCUACAGGUCUGCCAGACCCGCCCCCUCAGGGGAAACCAAGUGUUUGAGAAACCGUCGAGACGUCAGUUACAUGGACUGGAAUGUUCUUUAAAAUGGACUCAGGGAUUCAGAAGGAGAAACACCAGGGGGAGAUGAGGGGGCUCCUCAUCUCAACGACUAAAACACAAUUUCAGUCUGACACAGAAGCUAUGGAACACAUUCAACAGUCCCCUCCAGGCAUCAUGACUCCUCAGGAACGGUUUCAUUUCCAUGAAGGUCUUUUUUGGGGCCAUCCCAAGGUGGAUCCUGCUCCUCAAGAACCACCCCCCUCCACUGGGUGGUCUUCUGAACAGACGUCCUCCUUCCUGUCCUCAGGCUGACUAAAGCUGCACCGUUUGCAUCUGUGAAGGCCCCUCAUUCAGGAAACCACUGGACUCCAAAGACAUGACUUCAGAGACGUUGAAUCAACCUGGGACACACUUUGGAGACGACAAGCAUAAUUCAUUACCAAUGUGGGACGCCACUGAAGAAUGUUGUACAUAAGUAAACGUCUCUGGAGACAUUGGUUGUUCUGUUCUGGGUGGCCUGGCAGGAGAGCUGGGGGGGGGAUGAUGGAAUAUUAUUUGGCAUGAGGUUUUAACCCUGCAUGAUUGUUUGGCCUUUUAUGGCUCAGUAGUGUGUGUGUUUGGGUUUGACAUGAGAUGGAUGAUAUUUGAGCAUCGCUAGGGCUAUACUGUGUGUGGGUGUCUCCCACUCACACCUGGCAUGGGGUUCUACGUGCCUGUCCUGGGUUCUAUGUGUGUGUGUGUCCGGCUUGCUUUGACAGUGAUAAUGUUCACACGGAGUCUGUGUGAUUGGCUUGGGAUAUUGGAAUGGUCAAAUAAAUCAUACCUGAUGGACGGCCACACGUUUACUUGGGGGGGGCCUCCAGUAGACCUGAAGAGCUCUGAGCGACGCUCCGGAGCGAUAUCCAACACACUGGGCAGGAAGGAGAGUAUCCAAAUCAAGUGUCAAAGGAUGCAAGCGGCGUGUUCAGAUCAGUGACUUCAAACUAGGACUACACCAAUCAGGAUCAAAGGAGGAUGGACACCUAAAGGCAUUCCACAAGGAGUCUGACGUUGGAAAGGGACCUAAAUGGAUAUUCAAGAUGACCUUCAGACCUGUAAUGAGACGGCUCUUCCUACCUGGCUGGAUUGAUGGAGAGCCCUAUGGAUCUUGUCUUGCUCUCAGUUGCACGGCUUCUCAGGCUGAACUGUGUUUCUUUCGGACAGGACUAGCUGAACGAUUGGUUCCCUUAAAUCAGAACCAAUCCGGGAACUCCAGCUAGUGUGCUCUUCGAGCUGAAGUUGUGCUCUUCAGCUGAGGAGGUAAGGAAACCUUCACUGGGGCUUCAAGGUGUAAAGAGGAGAAUGUUUCAAAGUGUUCCAUGGUACUCUGAUGAGGACCGUUGUUGUGUUCCACUGGCUGAGAGGAAGAACCCUCACAUCAUCCUCUUGGCCUUUCUCCUGAGAAUACUGGCGCCAUCUUGAAGGAUAUUCCAGCUCAUGUAACUGAUGUCACGACAGAUUCUCAAGCACUUGGUUUCUCCUGAGGGGCGUGUCUAUAGAACUGAAGACUUCAGACAGCACUGUAUCCCAGCAUGUAUCUCUGCUCACUCAGACCACACCCCCAUGAGUAGGAUGCAACACUCUCGUGAUGGAGAUGUAGAGUUUUACAAGUAACGAGGGAGCAGACAAAGGUGAUUAGAACACAAUGGAAUGUGAAGUCUGUAAAUCUUUAAGCCAUGAAGAUGGUUGGAUACUUCAGGAAUUUAGCUUUUUAUUAUGGGCAGUCCUUUCACUCAGAUGCCCACUUCUCAUUGGAGCUGUACAUGUGUUGGCUGGCUGGCAUGAUUUGCUGUUGUUGAUGAGGCGGUCAGGGUGAAGUUGCAGGGCUAUGGUCGGCUCUCUGUGAGCUCAACAUUUAGAUUUGCUCUGUAGGGUUUGUACCCUGAAUAAUCUAGAUAAUUGUAAAAUGUAGACUCGGUUUUGUAUUGAAUGAUUCCAGGAUUUUAGGUUUAAAGUUGUUGUGGGACGUACAUGGUAGUUUGGUUCUUCGUACGGUUUUGAGUGAUGUAACUUGUACACACUGGGUGCAUAAUAAUGUAAAGGUACACUGAAUAGUAGUAAUGACCAACAGCAACAAACAGAUCUCCUCAAGGCAAGUCUGUUGGCUGUGUUUUAAUGAAGACCAUCGCUGGACUUCAGGAUCUUCCUCCGUUCAGCUCAAGGUGAGGCGCUGGUUCUGUUUAUUCUUUGGUUGGUUCCGGCCGGAAUGUUCGGAUUCCAGUCGGACGGUUUGUGCUUCCCGCCGUGGAAGGUUCUGAGUGCGGUCACUUGAUUUGGUCCCAAUGGUUAGCAUAGAACGUUGUAGUAUUGACAACUAUUAGAAACCACCUGGCAGUUAGUUGGAAGGGGAGUCCCCUGAGGGGAUCUGACGGAACGUUCUGGAUUGUAUUUGCGUAACCUCGAGCCGUUACCAACGGAAACUAUGUUUCAGUCGGUUUCCAUUGGGAAUUGUUGCCCCUUAUCUUAAAAAACUUAAGUUUGAUAUUAAAUGCAUACUGACAUGUACGUCGUACAAUAUGUUAAUUUUCGAUGGUUGCGCCGUACUUUUACCACGUUGACGGGACUCUCACUGCGUACAAAACGGCGUUCUACUUGCGGCCCCAAUUUUGGCUUCAGUGAAGGCUGAAAAUCAUUACAAGGUGGAAGGCAAUUUGACAUUUCUUCAACGGAACCCAGCACCUGAAUAUGGCUGAGUAAAUUUGAUUUAAUCUCGAUACUGCUUAGUGUUCUUUGUUACUUCAGCUUUUGUACGUUCUAAAUAUCUGCUACCAUUAAUUGCCACAGAAGUUAAACCCUAUCCAAUGGAAUGACGUUAAACAACGACUUUGGUGCAGAGUUACCAACUGGAUAAUAUCAAAGCUAAAAUAAUGGCUGUCAUUCCCACAUGUCACAGUAGAUGAUACUCUAGAACUGUACGAGGUUAAAAAGGUAACAUGUAGUUUGUCCCAUGGUGUCUGCCUCCUCACCCAGAGCAAGACCUCCACCUCCUCACCCAGAGCCAGACCUCCACCUACUGUCAGAAGUCCUCCAGAACAGGCUGAGCGGCUGGGGUCCGGAGGCUUUUGGUUCCAGGGUUGACCGGAGACUGUGGCUGGAGACCAUGGGCCUGCAGCACCGGACCAGAGGACCAGGAGUCCAUGUCUGGAGGAGCCUUGCUGAAGGAGCUGAUGGAGAUGCCGUGCUGAAGGAGCUGAUGGAGGAGCCGUGCUGAAGGAGCUGAUGGAGGAGUCGUGCUGAAGGCCCUGCCUGGUGGAGGAGCUGGUGGAGGCCCUGCCUGGUGAAGGACGUCUGUCGUGGGGUAGAUGGAGCUUGACUCUGAAGUGAUCAUCACACUGACUGCCACUUCUCGUAGAACACUGCUAUCACAAACUACCGGCGUUUGUACCAUAUAUACCAGACGACUACAUCUGUUUUACCACAUGUUGAAUCAAGACUUCCGCUGUUUGUUCCAGACCAGGGGCCUCAUGUACUAAGGUUGCGUACGCACAAAAACGUGGCGUACGUCCUUUUCCACGCUCAAGUUCAGAUGUACAAAACGUGAAAUUACCGUAAAAAUGUGCGGUCCCCACGCCAGCUCCAGAGCUGUCGUACGCACGUUUCUACAGCUAUUGUUCCUUUGGCGACACUUAGAGGUGACGCUGGGAAACUGGGAAAAAAUGUGAAAACAAUGACUCAGAGUGAUUUGCACAUCAAAGACACACUAAUGAACAAUUAACACACCUUGCAAUUAUAUGGGUGGCUAUAAAAGCAUGCGCAAUGGAUGAAGAAAAUUGUUUUAAAAAUGGCUGCGUUAGCGUUGUUAAAGGACAUCGCAAAUGGUCAAAUCCGAAUCCGUGCCCUCUCCUUGCUUGUCUAUUCAAAAAUAAAAAAUUUAAGUUAAUAAACACGAGUCAAAGUCUUUAAUAUCCUGGCAUCUUUACGCGCGACUUAUGUGUAUUGCAAGCAGCCAAUUGUAUGACCAGUAUAAUUACAGCAUUUAUGACUUCAG